GAUGAACGCUGGCGGCAUGCCUAAUACAUGCAAGUCGAACGAGAGGAAGGAAAGCUUGCUUUCCUGAAUCUAGUGGCGAACGGGUGAGUAACACGUAGGUAACCUGCCCACUGUGCCCGGGACGUAACUUACUGGAAACGGGAAUGCUAAAACCGGAAUAGGUAGGCAGACAAGACAUUUGUACUGCUAUUAAAGUAGGCCUUGGCCAUGAACAAUGGAUGGACCUGCGGUGCAUUAGCUGGUU
rnacentral:rRNA from 1 species